AACGAACGCUGGCGGCGCGUCUUAAACAUGCAAGUCGAACGGCAGGAAGGGGCUUGCCCCUUCUGAGAGUGGCGGACUGGUGAGUAACACGUGGGUGACAUACCUUUUAGUUGGGGAUAGCUAUUAGAAAUAGUAGGUAAUACCGAAUGUGACCGUACCUGUUAGAGGGGUACGAGGAAAGGAGCUAAGGCUUCGCUAAAAGAAUGGCUCGCGGCCCAUUAUGCUCGUUGGUGAGGUAACGGCCCACCAAGGCGAUGAUGGGUAUCCGGCCUGAGAGGGUGAACGGACACAUUGGGACUGAGAUACGGCCCAGACUUCUACGGGAGGCAGCAGUUAAGAAUAUUCCGCAAUGGACGAAAGUCUGACGGAGCGACGCCGCGUGGAUGAAGAAUGCCGAAAGGUUGUAAAAUCCUUUUAAGCCUGAUGAAUAAGAACAGUAGGGAAUGAUUGUGCGGUGACCGUAGGGCUUGAAUAAGCACCGGCUAAUUACGUG
rnacentral:rRNA from 1 species